rnacentral:rRNA from 1 species
UACGUAGGGUGCGAGCGUUAUUCGGAAUCACUGGGCUUACAGGGUGCGUAGGCGGCCUUUCAAGUCAGGUGUGAAAGCCCCCGGCUCAACCGGGGAACUGCGCUUGAAACUGAAAGGCUCGAGUCAGCUAGAGGUACACGGAACUUCCAGUGGAGCGGUGAAAUGUGUUGAUAUCGGAAGGAACAUCAGUGGCGAAAGCGACUUCCUGGACCAGUACCGACGUUCAGGCACGAAAGCGUGGGGAGCAAACAGG